AACACUUCAGCCUUAUAAGGGACUGUGGCACUGAGUCAUUACACAGUGCUGACAGCUACAAAUUUUACAAGUUGUGUGACAAUGAAUAGGUCUAUUUUUUGGUCACAGCUUGUCUAGUAUUUUGGAUAUUUGUACUCUACAGAUUUUACACAUAGGAACAGUUUGU